rnacentral:rRNA from 1 species
UACGUAGGGUGCAAGCGUUAAUCGGAAUUACUGGGCGUAAAGCGUGCGCAGGCGGUUUGUAAGUCUGUCGUGAAAGCCCCAGGCUUAACCUGGGAAUUGCGAUGGAGACUGCAAGGCUUGAAUCUGGCAGAGGGGGGUAGAAUUCCACGUGUAGCAGUGAAAUGCGUAGAGAUGUGGAGGAACACCGAUGGCGAAGGCAGCCCCCUGGGUCAAGAUUGACGCUCGAUGCACGAAAGCGUGGGAGCAAACAGG